AUAAAGGAUGUUAUAACAUCCAUCAAAGAGUACAAUUAAAUUACAC
rfam:Agrilus planipennis Contig59460, whole genome shotgun sequence.